rnacentral:rRNA from 1 species
UACGCAGGCGGUUUGGUAAGUCAGAGGUGAAAGCCCACAGCUUAACUGUGGCACUGCCUUUGAUACUGCCUUUCUUGAGUAGAGUAGGGGGAAGCGGAAUUCCGAGUGUAGAGGUGAAAUUCGUAGAUAUUCGGAGGAACACCGGUGGCGAAGGCGGCUUCCUGGACUCUAACUGACGCUCAUGUACGAAAGCGUGGGUAGCAAACAGGAUUAGAUACCCUGGUAGUCCACGCCCUAAACGAUGGGCACUAGGUGUGGGAGGUAUCGACCCCUUCCGUGCCGCAGCUAACGCAUUAAGUGCCCCGCCUGGGGAGUACGGCCGCAAGGUUGAA